UACAGAGGGUGCAAGCGUUAAUCGGAAUUACUGGGCGUAAAGCGUGCGUAGACGGUUGCGUAAGUCAGAUGUGAAAGCCCCGGGCUCAACCUGGGAAUUGCAUUUGAGACUGCGUAGCUAGGGUGCGGAAGAGGGAAGCGGAAUUUCCGGUGUAGCGGUGAAAUGACGUAGAUAUCGGGAAGGAACACCAGUGGCGAAAGCGGCUUCCUGGUCCAGCACCGACGUUCAGGCACGAAAGCGUGGGGAGCAAACAGG
rnacentral:rRNA from 1 species